rnacentral:rRNA from 1 species
UACGAAGGUCCCAAGCGUUAUCCGGAUUUAUUGGGUUUAAAGGGUGCGUAGGCGGGUUAUUAAGUCAGUGGUGAAAGCCUUCAGCUCAACUGAAGAACUGCCAUUGAUACUGAUGAUCUUGAGUACGAUUGAGGUAGGCGGAAUGUGUCAUGUAGCGGUGAAAUGCUUAGAUAUGACACAGAACACCGAUUGCGAAAGGCAGCUUACUAAGUCGUAACUGACGCUGAUGCACGAAAGCGUGGGGAGCAAACAGG